ACAUGUUAUCACUUUGGGACCGUGGGCCAGCUGCUCCUGACGUGGCCACAUGAAGGCUCAGACUGUUCCAGUCUCUGAACUGAAGAGAACCAACACUGUUAGCAUAUCUCUCACCACCAUGAACGCAAGGUAUUUCAAUGAAGAGUAUCAGGAGGACAUCUACAAAUCCCAGACCGGCAUGUGCAAGCUCUGAGGAAUGGGAAUAACCCAGUGUAUCUGGGUGACCUUUGGAGAAAGCUGAGACAGAGCUACAACACGGCAGUGGCUGACACCCAACUCAUAGCCCAUCUUCUCCAGGUCCAGACCUUUUUCCGGACUCCCUCCCGGCUAGCUGUGGUGCACCAGCUCCCUUCAGGCUGUGUUCACGCCGCCAACCCCAGUCUCUCCCUGCGCUCCGACCGAAGCCCGAGCCUCAGCUCCCAGCCCCUGCCCGCCCCGGCGGGUGAGAAGACAAGCCUCUUG